rnacentral:rRNA from 1 species
GACGAACGCUGGCGGCGUGCUUAACACAUGCAAGUCGAACGGAAAGGCCCUGCUUUUGUGGGGAGCUCGAGUGGCGAACGGGUGAGUAACACGUGAGUAACCUGCCCUUGACUUUGGGAUAACUUCAGGAAACUGGGGCUAAUACCGGAUAGGAGCUCCUGCUGCAUGGUGGGGGUUGGAAAGUUUCGGCGGUUGGGGAUGGACUCGCGGCUUAUCAGCUUGUUGGUGGGGUAGUGGCUUACCAAGGCUUUGACGGGUAGCCGGCCUGAGAGGGUGACCGGCCACAUUGGGACUGAGAUACGGCCCAGACUCCUACGGGAGGCAGCAGUGGGGAAUAUUGCACAAUGGGCGGAAGCCUGAUGCAGCAACGCCGCGUGCGGGAUGAAGGCCUUCGGGUUGUAAACCGCUUUCGCCUGUGACGAAGCGUGAGUGACGGUAAUGGGUAAAGAAGCACCGGCUAACUACGUG